UACUAUGACCAUAGCAAGAGAGGUGAACCAUCUGAUCCCUUCCCGAACUCAGAAGUGAAACCUCUUAGCGCUGAUGGUAGUGUGGGAUUACCCAUGUGAGAGUAAGUCAUCGCCAGCU
rnacentral:rRNA from 1 species